rnacentral:rRNA from 1 species
GAUGAACGCUGGCGGCGUGCCUAAUACAUGCAAGUCGAACGCGCAGCGAAAGGUGCUUGCACCUUUCAAGCGAGUGGCGAACGGGUGAGUAACACGUGGAUAACCUGCCUCAAGGCUGGGGAUAACAUUUGGAAACAGAUGCUAAUACCAAAUAAAACUUAGUAUCGCAUGAUACAAAGUUAAAAGGCGCUACGGCGUCACCUAGAGAUGGAUCCGCGGUGCAUUAGUUAGUUGGUGGGGUAAAGGCUUACCAAGACAAUGAUGCAUAGCCGAGUUGAGAGACUGAUCGGCCACAUUGGGACUGAGACACGGCCCAAACUCCUACAGGAGGCUGCAGUAGGGAAUCUUCCACAAUGGGCGCAAGCCUGAUGGAGCAACGCCGCGUGUGUGAUGAAGGCUUUCGGGUCGUAAAGCACUGUUGUAUGGGAAGAAAUGCUAAAAUAGGGAAUGAUUUUAGUUUGACGGUACCAUACCAGAAAGGGACGGCUAAAUACGUGCCAGCAGCCGCGGUAAUACGUAUGUCCCGAGCGUUAUCCGGAUUUAUUGGGCGUAAAGCGAGCGCAGACGGUUGAUUAAGUCUGAUGUGAAAGCCCGGAGCUCAACUCCGGAAUGGCAUUGGAAACUGGUUAACUUGAGUGUUGUAGAGGUAAGUGGAACUCCAUGUGUAGCGGUGGAAUGCGUAGAUAUAUGGAAGAACACCAGUGGCGAAGGCGGCUUACUGGACAACAACUGACGUUGAGGCUCGAAAGUGUGGGUAGCAAACAGGAUUAGAUACCCUGGUAGUCCACACCGUAAACGAUGAAUACUAGGUGUUAGGAGGUUUCCGCCUCUUAGUGCCGAAGCUAACGCAUUAAGCAUUCCGCCUGGGGAGUACGACCGCAAGGUUGAAACUCAAAGGAAUUGACGGGGACCCGCACAAGCGGUGGAGCAUGUGGUUUAAUUCGAAGCAACGCGAAGAACCUUACCAGGUCUUGACAUCCUUUGAAGCUUUUAGAGAUAGAAGUGUUCUCUUCGGAGACAAAGUGACAGGUGGUGCAUGGUCGUCGUCAGCUCGUGUCGUGAGAUGUUGGGUUAAGUCCCGCAACGAGCGCAACCCUUAUUGUUAGUUGCCAGCAUUCAGUUGGGCACUCUAGCGAGACUGCCGGUGACAAACCGGAGGAAGGCGGGGACGACGUCAGAUCAUCAUGCCCCUUAUGACCUGGGCUACACACGUGCUACAAUGGCGUAUACAACGAGUUGCCAACCUGCGAAGGUGAGCUAAUCUCUUAAAGUACGUCUCAGUUCGGACUGCAGUCUGCAACUCGACUGCACGAAGUCGGAAUCGCUAGUAAUCGCGGAUCAGCACGCCGCGGUGAAUACGUUCCCGGGUCU